GGGGGAAUAGCUCAGUGGUAGAGCAUUCGACUGCAGGUCGAGAAGUCUCCGGUUCAAAUCUGGGUGUCCCCU